AUUGAACGCUGGCGGCAUGCUUUACACAUGCAAGUCGAACGGCAGCGCGGGCUUCGGCCUGGCGGCGAGUGGCGCACGGGUGAGUAAUACAUCGGAACGUGCCCAGCAGUGGGGGAUAGCUCGGCGAAAGACGGAGUAAUACCGCAUACGACGUGAGGGUGAAAGAGGGGGAUCUUCGGACCUCGCGCUCUUGGAGCGGCCGAUGGCAGAUUAGCUAGUUGGUGGGGUAAAGGCCUACCAAGGCGACGAUCUGUAGCUGGUCUGAGAGGACGACCAGCCACACUGGGACUGAGACACGGCCCAGACUCCUACGGGAGGCAGCAGUGGGGAAUUUUGGACAAUGGGCGAAAGCCUGAUCCAGCAAUGCCGCGUGUGUGAUGAAGGCCUUCGGGUUGUAAAGCACUUUUGGCGGGAACGAAAAGGACUGUGCCAAUACCACGGUUCGAUGACGGUACCCGCAGAAUAAGCACCGGCUAACUACGUG
rnacentral:rRNA from 1 species